rnacentral:rRNA from 1 species
UACGUAGGGGGCAAGCGUUGUCCGGAUUUAUUGGGCGUAAAGAGCGUGUAGGCGGCCAGAUAGGUCAGCUGUGAAAACUCGAGGCUCAACCUCGAGAUGUCGGCUGAAACCAUCUGGCUAGAGUCCGGAAGAGGAGAAUGGAAUUCCCGGUGUAGCGGUGAAAUGCGCAGAUAUCGGGAAGAACACCCGUGGCGAAGGCGGUUCUCUGGGACGGUACUGACGCUGAGGCGCGAAAGCUAGGGGAGCAAACAGG